UACAGAGGGUGCUAGCGUUGUUCGGAAUCAUUGGGCGUAAAGCGCGUGUAGGCGGCCCGGUAAGUCCGCUGUGAAAGUCGGGGGCUCAACCCUCGAAUGCCGGUGGAUACUGUCGGGCUAGAGUGCGGGAGAGACGAGUGGAAUUCCUGGUGUAGCGGUGAAAUGCGCAGAUAUCAGGAGGAACACCAAUUGCGAAGGCAGCUCGCUGGAACGUAACUGACGCUGAGACGCGAAAGCGUUGGGAGCAAACAGG
rnacentral:rRNA from 1 species